GCAGCAGCCGCGGGAAAACAGAGGGUGCGAGCGUUAAUCGGAUUUACUGGGCGUAAAGCGUGCGUAGGCGGCUUCUUAAGUCGGAUGUGAAAUCCCUGAGCUUAACUUAGGAAUUGCAUUCGAUACUGGGAAGCUAGAGUAUGGGAGAGGAUGGUAGAAUUCCAGGUGUAGCGGUGAAAUGCGUAGAGAUCUGGAGGAAUACCGAUGGCGAAGGCAGCCAUCUGGCCUAAUACUGACGCUGAGGUACGAAAGCAUGGGGAGCAAACAGGAUUAGAUACCCCAGUAGUCCCUGUCUCUUAUAC
rnacentral:rRNA from 1 species